GCCCUGGUAGCUCAAUUGGCUAGAGCGUCGGACUUUUAUAUAUAAUAAAAAGUGUAUCCGAAGGCUGCGGGUUCGACCCCCGCCUGGGGCG